UGUAAAAGGACACUUUCACCUUUGAAACGGUGGUUUCCCAACACUAUGAUAAAACCCCAUUGUUCAUUUUUUUUCUUUUCCUUCUUAUACUUUUUUUCCUAAUCGUCCCUCCAGUGAACCUAGCUUUUCUAGCCCUGCCUUUUCAGAGUUUUUUUUCUUUUUUUUUUCUCCCCCGCCCCCAGCACCUUCUUUAAGGCUAAAGCUCCAUUUAAAAUGGUACGUGUGAUCCCUGGUAUAAGCUUGAAUCUCAAAGGAAGGAUGAAAAGGAGCCUUCGGUGGAGAUCCGAAGUGGCCUUUCAGUCUUGGGCACAGCUGCGGGGAUCAGAGUGUAUUGUAUUGCUCACACUGGGGGUUAUAAAGAAGACUCUAGCAGAUACUUAGAGACCAGUCCACGGCCAGCAGAACUGACUCUCAAUGCAACAGCCUGAGCACAACCUGGGACAGAAUGCCAGCAAGACAACACUCUCCUCUGGGCCCCUGGGACUCCAGGACAGCGGACAUUUAUUAUUUCCUAUAUGAUGGUGGGUGCCAGGUGCUUUGCCAGGCACAGAGACAUAAAGCUGCUCACAGUCUCCAGCAGCUGUCUCCCCAGGUGGUCUCCCUCACCUGGACAAUGUAAAUUAACAGCUUAUUUUCACAAGUCGGAAACAAGAGCAGACUAGAAAUUGACCUUACUGCUCACCUCCAGACCAAUGCAUACUGGACUUCUUCCACGACUCUGUUUACUUCAUCUUAUGUAAAGUGCAGAUUUACUGCGCACAAGGCAUACAUGAUUGAGGGUUCCUCUACCCUCUCCUUUGCACAUGCAACAUUUGGAUUCAGUGCACACUAAUCAAAGACUCACAAGAAAGUAACCGUUUGUCUCAUUUUUUCUACCCUCCUCUUUUCUCCUUCCUCUCCAGCCCACUUUUCCCCCUUUAAAUACUGAAGCCCUCAAAACCCUCUUUGGAAAAAGUGCAGGACACAGAUCCUACUGUGGCUUGUGUCUCUUUUUCCCUCCCUAACCAGAUGCAUCCUCAACCUUAGCAAAAUAAACCUCUAAAUUGAUUGAGAUCUGUCUCAGGCAUUGUUUUUGGUUUAUAGGAUACAGAUGCCAAAAUCUACAGCAGACACUCAAAGGAGGUUGGGGUGACCUGGGGGGUUCUGAGAUAGCUUAUUCACAGAGGAGAUGGUGCUUCAGUUUGAGAGCAAGGAUAGGGUGUGAGAAGAUGUUCCAGGGACAGGGCACAGCAGGAAUGCAGAGAUGGAUUCUGGGUUCACAUUGGCUGGAGAAGAGACAGCAAGGAAAGCAGUGAUGAGGAAGGUAGAUGAGACAGAAAAGGUAGGAGGAGCAGAGAAAAAGAAGAGCCCUGAUGCCACGAAGGAGCUUAAAACUUACCCUACAGGUCAGUGUUUCCAAAACAUAACUGUUUGGAAAUCAUCUGGGAGCUUUGAAAAAUACAGAUUCUAACAUUCCUCCCUCCAGACCUACUGAAUUAAUGUCUCUAGUAAUAAGGAUCUAGGAUUCAGUUUUUUAAAAUUCCCAGGUAGUUAUUCUAACAGGUGGGUAAGAAUCAGCAGAGUCAAUAAGGAGGCCACUGAAGCUUUUAAGCACAGAGUAUCCAAGCUUGCUUGUAUAUUUAAAUGACAAGUUAUACAGCCCCACAGUCCAUAUGUAAGAUCUUUCAACAUGAUGAAGGAAACAUUGGAAAUCAUUAAAUAGUGCUGGAAAAAAAUUGACUAUUAAAAAUAUCAUCUACCAUACAUCAAAAAAGCAACUACAGAUUGAGUGAAGAGUUUAAAUUAGUAUUGCAGGGCCACUUAUACAUGGACACAGAUGAAUUCAGAACCAUGUAUUUGUAAUGGCACCAUUCUCCCUGGUGGACAGGUUCUCUCCAGCAAUGCUUGGCUGCCUAGGAGCAGAAAAGUGUGAGGGUGGGUUCAUCCAGGAUUGCACGCAGGCUAGAUGGGUGCAGUAGAUGGGAGAGGGGUGGAGGAACUCAGGAGUCCUGGUAAGGAUGUGUUUGAAUUCAUUUACCAUCUGUCUAAGCUGGGAAAGAAGAAAUGCUAAGUGGGGUUCAAGAGAGCAGCAGAACAGGAAGGAGGGGUAGACCUAUUUUUCCUAGUCUCAUCUCCCAAUUUCCCAGUGCUGCAAGCUUGUUAAGUAUUGAGAGCCUAUGUUAUCCAUCAUUGUAUUUCCAGGGCCCUCGCCUAAAGAAGUACUUGAUACAUGCUUGCCUGACUGGAUGAAGGGAACUGAGGUCUGGCAAACUACAGCUUGUGUAUUAGUCCGUUUUCACACUGCUAUAAAGAUGCUACCUGAAACUGAGUAAUUUACAAACAAAA
rnacentral:lncRNA from 1 species